rnacentral:lncRNA from 1 species
GAGAAGGAUCAGAGCAUUGCAUCCUAUAGACAUUGUGAUACAGAUGGUCGAUGGAGGUGUCAACGAUGCCAUGAAUGGCUAGAUCAAUGGAGUCACUGCAUGGACUGUGAGGGCUUAAUGUGCUUCUUGGAGACCUGAUCAUCCGGUGGCUACAAUCACUACCCUUGUAAGACAUGCAGUCUCCAAUUGUAUCAUCAUCUCCUCUUCUAUAUUCACCUCCAUUUAAAACAUCCAUGGCUAG